rnacentral:tRNA from 1 species
GGAGAGAUGGCCGAGUGGUCGAAGGCACUCCCUUGCUAAGGGAGCAUACGAUCAAAAGUCGUAUCGAGAGUUCGAAUCUCUCUCUCUCCGCCA